rnacentral:rRNA from 1 species
AUACGUAGGGGGCAAGCGUUAUCCGGAUUUACUGGGUGUAAAGGGAGCGUAGACGGUAAAGCAAGUCUGAAGUGAAAGCUCGGGGCUCAACCCCGGAACUGCUUUGGAAACUGUUUUACUGGAGUGCAGGAGAGGUAAGCGGAAUUUCUAGUGUAGCGGUGAAAUGCGUAGAUAUUAGGAGGAACACCAGAGGCGAAGGCGGCUUACUGGACUGUAACUGACGUUGAGGCUCGAAGGCAUGGGGAGCAAACAGGAUUAGAUCCCCUGGUAGUCCACGCGGUAAACGAUGAUCACUAGGUGUCGGCGGCCAUAGGCGGUCGGUGCCGCAGCAAACGCAAUAAGUGAUCCACCUGGGGAGUACGUUCGCAAGAAUGAAACUCAAAGGAAUUGGCGGGG